UGUGUGACUGAGUGGGAGUGACCUCGUCCAGAGCCCAUUUAAAACUCUUCGUCCUCUUUGGAGUUCACUAUUUCAACAACAACUGGAGUUUUGCACCUUCUCACGCAGUAAAGAGUUAAAGAUGGAUUUCUGGGCAGAGAGCCAAGGGCAUUUGCCUCAAUACAGCAAAUACAACACUCUACCUUCAAGGAGCUGCUCACAAAACUACCACGACAGACGUCCACCACCUCAAUAUCAAGUCUACUGUGAAGACCAGAGGGGAAAAAACAUUGAUUCGGGAUAUUACUGGCCUCCAAGGGACACCUCAAACUGGUCAAACCAGGAAACCACUGCUCUAACAUCUCCUGUACAUUUCCCCUUUAACCUAGAUCAUCAAAUUCAACAUUACCACAGCGACCAGCGUCAAGAACUUCAAGACUGGACAAUUUAUCAACACCAAGAGAGGGGGUUUCAACACGAGGGGUGGUCCUACAACCCUGCUCACUACAAACGUGAAAUUUCCAAGAAGAAUGACAACAAUUUUAGGGAGUUGGAGGCUUGGGCAUUGCGCUAUAGUCACUCACUACCAAGGAGGAGACGCAUAGAGGCAGGACUGAGAGGCGCAAUGCAAGAUAAUCUAGAAAGAAGAGAUAUACAAAUGACAAAUGUGCAAGAAUCAACAUUGCGGGAUAGGGUGAGCAGGCAGCAAGCGAUUAACUGUUAUCAAACUAUGCCACAGAGACAGAAUUUGGAG